AGGCCACAGACUCUUAUAUGAAGUAGACUAAGCAUUCAAAAUAAACCAAGACGUCAGAGUGAACUCUGGAGUCCCCGGCUCUGUUGGAUCCAGUGGAAAUCUAAAACCUAAAGAGAGAGGGUACCUCUUUCUACGAACUCGGAAAGAAGCAUGAGAUUCUACUGUGAUCUCUCUCGCAACCAGGGAUAACUCAGACCCCGGGAGAACCUGGUGGGCCGCUGCAGACCCGUCUUUGCUGGCGGUGGAGGCUGGACUCUGUCCGAGGGGACCAGACGCAAGGCGUGACCAAGUCUGUGGGUAACCUGUCACAGUUGAGUCCGAGAAGGAACAGCCUCAGAGAGGGUCAGGAUCCCUCAGGGGGUGACUGCAGGUCAGACUCCAGAAGCCAAGAACCACGCGCACAGGCAGGAGCAGAAAUGAACAGCAGGGAGACGUGAAGGGCCAGCGAGGGAUCCAUGCCAGGACGGUUGGCAACGUCUGGGAACAUUUGGGGGUGUCACACAGGUGUGGUGUGAGUCGCGUGGCAUCAAGUGAGCCGAGGCCAGGCUGCCCGUCACCACGCUGCCUCCUUCAGCAUCACCGUGCGACACCCUGCUUUGCAUGGGACAGCUCCACGCAGCCAAGAAUUAUCCAACUCCAAACUGAGCUUGAGAAGCCCCAGGACAGACUGGGUCAAUGGUGUAACAACACGCUUCCUCCUGAGCGACUUCUGAGGAGGAACUAACCUCCCUGGAGCUGCCGGUCUCCAUGCUCUGUACACCCAGCUGCUGUGUGAACAGGCCACUCUCAAAGCUAGAAGGACCACAGAGAGUGAGAAAUACGAGGGCAGAGAUUCUCUAACCAGUCACCCCCGUGGUCAUUUUGCCAAAGUGUAUGUUUAUUGACCAAUUACAGCAGAGAUUUACAGAGUAGAAUUAUGCUUUCACUGAAGUAAGGCCAAUACCCUUCCCUCCCAAGCCACCAGUGAGCUCUGUGACCAGGGACAAAGUCAGCUAAUAGAGCCGGGUGUUCACGGGGGCCUGGGAUUUAUACUUUAAUUGUUUCCACGGCUCCCUGUCUCACGGAGGUAUUUGUCUUGGUACAUGGACACCAACAGUGUGCCAUAACAUUACACAGAGGAUUGUGAGGGUUUUUUUUUUUUAAUUAUUAUUUCAUCUGUAAUUAUAGGCAAGACCAGUUUAUUAUUGAGAAAUCCUUGAAAACAUUUUAAUUGAAAUGGUCAGCAGCCUUUCACUGAUCCAGUCCCACAAUAGACCCUGGCAACCUAAGUGUGUCCAACUAAUGGAUUAAGAAGGAGAGUCCCUGUUCUAAACCAGAGCAUAAGUGUUAUUUAAAAUUUUGGAUUUAAGUGUUUUUUUUUUUUUUUUUAAGAUUUAUGGCACAGUUGAAAUGAGGUCAAGUAGAAGCACUAAAGAAUUUAAUUAGAAAUGUCUUCGCAUGCCCCCCUCCUCUCUGUAAACCCUGCAUAGGUUGUCUCUGGAGAGCUUGAAGUCAUUUGAGAUGGCGUGUACUUUUUCUUUUUUUCUUUUUUUAAUUCCUAAUAAGAAGGAGGUCCAAUCCCCUGCCGUGUCUUCAGUGGGAAAUGCUGGGGAUCUAGACAGCAGAGGCCGAAAAGGGAACAGCAGCAGGGCAAGGAAAGGGACGAGGGCCUUUCAGCUGGCCUCCACAAAAACAUUCAUUUAUCCAGAACAUUUCCUGAGCACUUUGUCUGUCUCAACGCGGUGCAAGGGGCUGGGAACCCUGAUGGGAGCGAGAUGCUGUCUGUACUCUCAAAGAUCUCCUGGCUGAAUGCAACAAACAGAGGCGACUAAACAAACACAAGAAAACAGCACCGUUGCUUAAACAUCUUGGGAACCCGAAGGCAGGAGUGCUGGCCUUUCCCUGGAGAGCUCACUGGAAGGCGUGGCCUGGGAUCUGGGCCUUGAAGGAUGUGUAGGGGUUCUCAGUGGACCUACAGGAGGGAGAUGCAGGGAAAGGAGACCCCAGGGAGAGGACACAGCCUGUGCCCUGACACAGACAUGGGUGAGGAUGGCUCAGCAGAGCUGAGUGGUGGGCAAACAUUCUCUGGGACCUAGAGGGCCAAUUGGGAGCUACAGCAAUUAAGUGUGCUACGGCAGAGGAGAGGCCAGAAAGCCAUUCAGUUUGGAAACCAGGUGCUUGAGCUGGGAGCUCUCCUCUUACCCUUUGAAGCUCAGGCUAUGCCUGCCUCCCCCCUCCAACACAGAUUAUGGAAGCCUCAGGGUUUCAGCCCCUGGCUGGGCUCAGUGGAGUUCCAGGAUGAUGGUGCUGGUACCACUAAGGAGGGGGUCUCGAGAGGGGGACGGGAAGAAUGCUUGGGCUCCGGGAGGCUCUCGAGAGGGGGAUGGGAGGGAUGCCGGGGCUCUGGGAGGCUUGGCUGGCAGUCGGGGCUGGGAAGGGUGUUUCCUGCGCUUCCUUCUGCUGCCGAUUCCACUGUCAAGGAGUAGACCAAACAGCGUCAGUGACUGUGACUCUGAUUGCUGUUGUGUGUGUUAGUCAUUCGGUCAUGUCUGACUCUCUGCGACCCCAUGGACUAUAGCCCACCAGGCUCCCCUGUCCAUGGAAUUCUCCAGGCAAGAAUACUGGAGUGGGUAGCCUUUCCCUUCUCCAGGGGAUCUUUCCAACCCAGGGAUUGAACCCGGGUGUCUGGCAUUGCAGACGGAUUCUUUACUGCCUGAGCCACCUACUACCAGCGGCUAUUGUGUGCCUAGGGUGCUGGGCGUUUCCUCUAUUAUGUUGACUAUGUAUAACAACCCUGCAUGGUCUGGGAUUUUUAGAGAUUCACCUUCCUUGCUGCUCCACAGGGAAGAACCGUUAGCCGGUGUUAACUAAAUCAAUUCCUCUCCCUACCUACCCUGGAGCCCAUGCAUGGAGCCGCCCACAUGAGAAGCAGCUUGAUGCAAAUCAAGGCUCACAGUUAGACUGGUUGCUUCGGUGGCUGCCACUGUGAGGACCACGUGGGGGAAAAAUCUUCUUUCUCUACACCAUGGGUGGGUUCUGUCUUGGGUUUAUAUUCUCGUGGACCAGACAUCUUCCAAAGCAGGUGUUAAGAGAGGUAAAUUGACUGCCAGUUGAUUUGAAGAUUCCUCCAGGGCAUCCCAAAGUAAAUUCUGCAUAUGCUUGAUGUAUCAGUCAGCUUUUGCUGCAUAACAAAGCACCCCCUCCCCUCCAACUAAAGCAGCAAUCAUAUCUAUCUGUAGGCUGCGGGUCGGCUGAUGCAGGCUGAGUGUGGCUCUAGGCUAUGGACUGGGUUCAUAUCUACUUGAUGUGACUCUCUCCUUUUUUUUUGGGGGGGGGGCUAGUGGUCCCCUGGGAGUACUCCCCUCGUGGUAGGAGGCAGGAGUGUGAAAAGGCAGCACUAGCAAUGCAAGGACACUUUAGUCCCCUGCUUGUCUGUCUGCUCAUAUCACACUGCAAAACAGGGUCCGUGGCCAAGUCAGUGGUGAGGCUCAUGUAGCUGAACUGCUUCUUACCCACCUAGGUCAGGACUGACCGAGGCACUGGGUGGGUUCUACAUCUGGGGGGUUCCUAUCAGCUAGCCCUCUGCCGCACCAGCCAAGGCAGGGGCUGUCCCUCCCUGCUCAAGGCUGGGACUGAGCAUCACCGGUGUGCAUCUUCAGGCCUAAGAAACACACCCUACGGCUCUUUAUUUGAAAGGGGCCUGGAGCAGACUUUUGCAAAAUAAGUUGCUUUUCUAGAUGAAUCCAACUCUUCCUGCAUUUGAAAAAUAAAUGUGCACUAAAAGUAAUUAACGCAUGUUGGUUCAUGAAUAAUACACUAUUUUACAACUAUUUGCUGAGCAUAAUGAGACAAGCUACUAAAUUGACAAUGAAUGUUCUAUUAUGUGAUUGCCAACUGUUUUAUAAGAUACUGAACAUAUUCAUUUCUUCUGCCAUCGUGUGUAUUAUCAAGCUAUUGCUUUUUAAUAAAUUAAUUUUCCAGACAUCUCUGGGGUCUUUGUUGGAAAUCUGGCUGAGGGCGAAAAUAAAAUUAAUUGUGUGGUCUGUGCAGAACUACCAGUGUUUGCUGGCUUACAAACAAAGUGUCACCACUGGCUGCCCCCGAAACAGACCCUGCGUGUGGCACGCAAGUGUGAAGGGAGAUGCCUCUUCAGCCCAGGAUGGUGUGAAAAGACCAAGUGG
ensembl:lncRNA